UAAUAUGCACAUGCCUAUAGUUUUAAUGCAUCAGAUCCCAUUAGAACUUCAUCAUUAAGCGUGCUUGGGCUAGAAUAGUACUAGGAUGGGUGGACUCCCAUGAAGUCCUAGUGUUUUACAUGCC
rfam:Picea glauca, whole genome shotgun sequence.